UAAUGAGAGUUUGAUCCUGGCUCAGGACGAACGCUGGCGGCGUGCCUAAUACAUGCAAGUAGAACGCUGAAGAGAGGAGCUUGCUCUUCUUGGAUGAGUUGCGAACGGGUGAGUAACGCGUAGGUAACCUGCCUUGUAGCGGGGGAUAACUAUUGGAAACGAUAGCUAAUACCGCAUAACAAUGGAUGACACAUGUCAUUUAUUUGAAAGGGGCAAUUGCUCCACUACAAGAUGGACCUGCGUUGUAUUAGCUAGUAGGUGAGGUAACGGCUCACCUAGGCGACGAUACAUAGCCGACCUGAGAGGGUGAUCGGCCACACUGGGACUGAGACACGGCCCAGACUCCUACGGGAGGCAGCAGUAGGGAAUCUUCGGCAAUGGGGGCAACCCUGACCGAGCAACGCCGCGUGAGUGAAGAAGGUUUUCGGAUCGUAAAGCUCUGUUGUAAGUCAAGAACGAGUGUGAGAGUGGAAAGUUCACACUGUGACGGUAGCUUACCAGAAAGGGACGGCUAACUACGUGCCAGCAGCCGCGGUAAUACGUAGGUCCCGAGCGUUGUCCGGAUUUAUUGGGCGUAAAGCGAGCGCAGGCGGUUUGAUAAGUCUGAAGUUAAAGGCUGUGGCUCAACCAUAGUUCGCUUUGGAAACUGUCAAACUUGAGUGCAGAAGGGGGAGAGUGGAAUUCCAUGUGUAGCGGUGAAAUGCGUAGAUAUAUGGAGGAACACCGGUGGCGAAAGCGGCUCUCUGGUCUGUAACUGACGCUGAGGCUCGAAAGCGUGGGGAGCGAACAGGAUUAGAUACCCUGGUAGUCCACGCCGUAAACGAUGAGUGCUAGGUGUUGGAUCCUUUCCGGGAUUCAGUGCCGCAGCUAACGCAUUAAGCACUCCGCCUGGGGAGUACGACCGCAAGGUUGAAACUCAAAGGAAUUGACGGGGGCCCGCACAAGCGGUGGAGCAUGUGGUUUAAUUCGAAGCAACGCGAAGAACCUUACCAGGUCUUGACAUCCCGAUGCUAUUUCUAGAGAUAGAAAGUUACUUCGGUACAUCGGUGACAGGUGGUGCAUGGUUGUCGUCAGCUCGUGUCGUGAGAUGUUGGGUUAAGUCCCGCAACGAGCGCAACCCCUAUUGUUAGUUGCCAUCAUUCAGUUGGGCACUCUAGCGAGACUGCCGGUAAUAAACCGGAGGAAGGUGGGGAUGACGUCAAAUCAUCAUGCCCCUUAUGACCUGGGCUACACACGUGCUACAAUGGUUGGUACAACGAGUUGCGAGUCGGUGACGGCAAGCUAAUCUCUUAAAGCCAAUCUCAGUUCGGAUUGUAGGCUGCAACUCGCCUACAUGAAGUCGGAAUCGCUAGUAAUCGCGGAUCAGCACGCCGCGGUGAAUACGUUCCCGUACCUUUGUACACACCGCCCGUCACACCACGAGAGUUUGUAACACCCGAAGUCGGUGAGGUAACCUUUUGGAGCCAGCCGCCUAAGGUGGGAUAGAUGAUUGGGGUGAAGUCGUAACAAGGUAGCCGUAUCGGAAGGUGCGGCUGGAUCACCUCCUU
rnacentral:rRNA from 1 species